rnacentral:rRNA from 1 species
GCCUAACAGCUAGCCCACCCAAACAAUUUCAACAAACCCCUGUUAAUAACCCCUAAGUACCCCAGUAUUUAUUUUAAACAAACCAUUUUUCCCCCCUAGUAUAGGCGAUAGAAAAGGGCCUACGGCGCAAUAGAGAAAGUACCGCAAGGGAACGCUGAAAGAGAAGUGAAACAACCCAGUAAAGCCUAAAAAAGCAGAGAUCUAAACUCGUACCUUUUGCAUCAUGAUUUAGCAAGUGUAACCCAAGCAAAGCGUACUUUAGUUUGACGUCCCGAAACUAGGUGAGCUACUCCAAGACAGCCUAUCAAUAGGGCGUACCCGUCUCUGUGGCAAAAGAGUGGGGAGAGCUUUGAGUAGAGGUGACAAACCUACCGAACCUAGUUAUAGCUGGUUGUCCAAGAAAUGAAUAGAAGUUCAGCCUUUCAGCUUCUCUUUUCACCUUAGCCUGACCCCUAUUGAUGUAUUAAAGAAACCGAAAGAGUUAGUCAAAGGGGGUACAGCUCCUUUGAAUCAAGACACAACUUUCCCAGGAGGGUAAAGAUCAUAAUAAUUAAAGCUAAAUGUUCUGGUGGGCCUAAAAGCAGCCAUCCCCUUAGAAAGCGUUAAAGCUCAGACAUGCGACCAUACUUCUUAUCCUGAUCACCCAAUCUUAUCCCCCUAACCGUACUGGACCAUCCCAUGCCAACAUGGGAGUGACUAUGCUGAAAUGAGUAAUAAGAGAGCUAUCGGCUCUCUCCCUGCACACAUGUACAUCGGAACGGACAACCCACCGAACCUUAACGGCCCCAAAUAAAGAGGGCAGUGGAUGUUAGACCAAAAAACUAGAAAACUAUCCAAAA